AGCAGCCGCGGUAAUUCCAGCUCCAAUAGCGUAUAUUAAAGUUGUUGCAGUUAAAAAGCUCGUAGUUGAAUUUCGGGAUUGACGUGAUGGUCGUGCCUUAAGGGGUAUGAACUGUCGCAGUUGAUUUCUCACCUUCUGGAGAAGCAUGAUGUCCUUAAUUGGGUGUCAUGUGGAACCAGGACCUUUACCUUGAAAAAAUUAGAGUGUUUAAAGCAGGCAUUUUGCUCGAAUACAUUAGCAUGGAAUAAUAGAAUAGGACGGCAUGGUUCUAUUUUGUUGGUUUCUAGGAUCACCGUAAUGAUUAAUAGGGAUAGUUGGGGGCAUCAGUAUUCAAUUGUCAGAGGUGAAAUUCUUGGAUUUAUUGAAGACUAACUACUGCGAAAGCAUUUGCCAAGGAUGUUUUCAUUAAUCAAGAACGAAAGUUAGGGGAUCGAAGACGAUCAGAUACCGUCGUAGUCUUAACCAUAAACCUAUGCCGACUAGGAA
rnacentral:rRNA from 1 species